rnacentral:sRNA from 1 species
AAGACCUUUAAACUGAACCAGAGAGUUCAGAAAGGAAAGCGUAAACAGGGUAAUUUAUGCCUUCCUUUAAAGGGAGGUUUUUUUACG